GCUUUGCUUUGCUUAAGUAGUGUUUUGCUUAUGCAACGUUUUGCCUUGCUUUUAUGUAAAGAGGUUUACCUAGUAUUUAUGUUCCCUAUUCAUUGUAUUGUUUCCAAAUAAGGUUUAGUCAAUUUUAUGGUGUGAACAGUGUGUAAAUGGUUUUAUGCACAGGGAGGCAAGGCCCUCUUA